rnacentral:tRNA from 1 species
GGAAGCUGGCAUCCCGGGUAGCGUGCGCCUGCGCGACUUGGGAAGCGAGACUCAAAACAGAACGCUAAACAUGUAGAUCUGCCCGGCGAAGGCUUGCGGACGCGGGUUCAAUUCCCGCCAGCUCCACCA